GAUGAACGCUGGCGGCGUGCCUAAUACAUGCAAGUCGAGCGAACAGACGAGGAGCUUGCUCCUCUGACGUUAGCGGCGGACGGGUGAGUAACACGUGGAUAACCUACCUAUAAGACUGGGAUAACUUCGGGAAACCGGAGCUAAUACCGGAUAAUAUAUUGAACCGCAUGGUUCAAUAGUGAAAGACGGUUUUGCUGUCACUUAUAGAUGGAUCCGCGCCGCAUUAGCUAGUUGGUAAGGUAACGGCUUACCAAGGCAACGAUGCGUAGCCGACCUGAGAGGGUAAUCGGCCACACUGGAACUGAGACACGGUCCGGACUCCUACGGGAGGCAGCAGUAGGGAAUCUGCCGCAAGGGGCGAAAGCUUGACGGAGCAACGCCGCGGGAGUGAUGAAGGUCUUCGGAUCGUAAAACUCUGUUAUUAGGGAAGAACAAAUGUGUAAGUAACUAUGCACGUCUUGACGGUACCUAAGCAGAAAGCCACGGCUAACUACGU
rnacentral:rRNA from 1 species